rnacentral:rRNA from 1 species
ACCACCGGAGCAUGGACUGUCUGAUCUGGGCCACACUGGACCCCCAAAGCUUGACAAGUUAAAACUUUCAACAACGGAUCUCUUGGCUCUCGCAUCGAUGAAGAACGCAGCGAAAUGCGAUAGGUAAUGUGAAUUGCAGAACUCAGUGAAUC